rnacentral:rRNA from 1 species
UACGGAGGGGGCUAGCGUUGUUCGGAAUGACUGGGCGUAAAGGGUGCGUAGGCGGCGCAGCGAGUCAGGCGUGAAAUCCCCGGGCUCAACCUGGGAACUGCGUUUGAGACUGUUGUGCUUGAGACCGGGAGAGGAUGGCGGAAUACCCAGUGUAGAGGUGAAAUUCGUAGAUAUUGGGAAGAACACCGGUGGCGAAGGCGGCCAUCUGGACCGGAUCUGACGCUGAGGCACGAAAGCGUGGGGAGCAAACAGG